ensembl:misc_RNA
CAGACAGCCUCAGAGACUGAGACCCUCCCUUUGUCCAUAGAACAGGUAUUGCAGAGGAACCAGCAGGGCAACAUCCCGCCACUGCCCCAGCAAUGUACUACUGCCCUGAUUUGGAGCAACCAUUUAAAGGGAUGAGAAUAUUCAGCUUCCAGGAUCAUUCAACUCUUGGCCUCU